rnacentral:rRNA from 1 species
GUGAGGAAUAUUGGUCAAUGGUCGGAAGACUGAACCAGCCAUGCCGCGUGCAGGAAGAAUGCCUUAUGGGUUGUAAACUGCUUUUAUAUGGGAAGAAUAAGGCGUACGUGUACGUUGAUGACGGUACCAUAUGAAUAAGCAUCGGCUAACUCCGUGCCAGCAGCCGCGGUAAUACGGAGGAUGCGAGCGUUAUUCGGAAUCAUUGGGUUUAAAGGGUCUGUAGGCGGGCUAUUAAGUCAGGGGUGAAAGGUUUCAGCUUAACUGAGAAAUUGCCUUUGAUACUGGUAGUCUUGAAUAUCUGUGAAGUUCUUGGAAUGUGUAGUGUAGCGGUGAAAUGCUUAGAUAUUACACAGAACACCGAUUGCGAAGGCAGGGGACUAACAGACAAUUGACGCUGAGAGACGAAAGCGUGGGGAGCGAACAGGAUUAGAAACCCGAGUAGUCC